GGCUUUCCACCUCCCCACCGCAUCCUACCCAAGACAAGCUCAGAAUCCCACGCUUUGCCCUUCCCCCAACCCAACAUCCUUAGAUGGAAAGGGGAGUUUCAGAGAUGCUACUGGCAGCUGUUGUGUGGCUGACCAAGGAGAGCUAAGACUCAGAAGCUUACACAAGGGCAGAGGGGGUUCCCAGCCCAGAGAGUUCUAGGCACAAGUGAGUCUGUCCAGACAAGAAAGACAAGAAGACCUACUGUGUGUACAGCAGUGGAGAUACUGAGAAGCCAUUCAGCCAGCACUGAGGAGACCUGCAUAACAGCAAUAGGAUUGAAGAGCAGCUAGCUGACUUUGAAAGCCAUUCCUAUCUGCUCUCAGUAGUCUGAGGCUAAAAUUAGGGCUGGUAUUGAAGCCUCAGAAUGCUGCAUUGUAACUCAGCAGGAGGG
rnacentral:lncRNA from 1 species